rnacentral:rRNA from 1 species
AGAGUUUGAUCGUGGCUCAGGACGAACGCUGGCGGUGUGCUUCACACAUGCAAGUCGAACGAGGUAGCAAUACCUAGUGGCGGACGGGUGAGUAACGCGUGGGAAUCUGCCUUUAGAUGGGGGAUAACGAGCCGAAAGGUUCGCUAAUACCGCAUAUGCCGCAAGGUGAAAGGAGUAAUCCGUCUAAAGAUGAGCCCGCGUCCGAUUAGCUAGUUGGUGGGGUAAAGGCCUACCAAGGCGACGAUCGGUAGCUGGUCUGAGAGGAUGAUCAGCCACAAUGGGACUGAGACACGGCCCAUACUCCUACGGGAGGCAGCAGUGGGGAAUUUUACGCAAUGGGGGAAACCCUGACGUAGCGACACCGCGUGAGCGAAGAAGCCCCUUGGGGUGUAAAGCUCUGUCAGCUGGAACGAAACAAAUGACGGUACCAGCAGAGGAAGCAUCGGCUAACUACGUGCCAGCAGCCGCGGUAAGACGUAGGAUGCGAGCGUUGUCCGGAUUUAUUGGGCGUAAAGAGUUCGUAGGUGGUUUGUUAAGUUUGAUGUUAAAGAUCGGGGCUCAACCUCGGGACAGCAUUGAAUACUGGCAGACUUGAGUAUGGUAGAGGCUAGUGGAAUUCCCAGUGUAGCGGUGAAAUGCGUAGAUAUUGGGAAGAACACCGGUGGCGUAGGCGACUAGCUGGGCCAUAACUGACGCUGAGGAACGAAAGCCAGGGGAGCGAAAGGGAUUAGAUACCCCUGUAGUCCUGGCCGUAAACGAUGGAUACUAGGCGUAUCGGGUAUCGACCCCUGAUGUGCCGCAGCUAACGCGAUAAGUAUCCCGCCUGAGUAGUACGGCCGCAAGGUUGAAACUCAAAUGAAUUGACGG